rnacentral:rRNA from 1 species
UAACGCGAAGAACCUUACCAGGUCUUGACAUCUUUUGCUAACCUAAGAGAUUAGGCGUUCCCUUCGGGGACGGAAUGACAGGUGGUGCAUGGUUGUCGUCAGCUCGUGUCGCGAGAUGUUGGGUUAAGUCCCGCAACGAGCGCAACCCUUAUUGUCAGUUGCCAGCAUUUAGUUGGGCACUCUGGCGAGACUGCCGGUGACAAACCGGAGGAAGGUGGGGAUGACGUCAAAUCAUCAUGCCCCUUAUGACCUGGGCUACACACGUGCUACAAUGGACGGUACAACGAGUCGCGAAACCGCGAGGUCAAGCUAAUCUUUUAAAGCCGUUUUCAGUUCGGAUUGUAGGCUGCAACUCGCCUACAUGAAGUUGGAAUCGCUAGUAAUCGUGGAUCAGC